rnacentral:rRNA from 1 species
UACGAAGGGUGCAAGCGUUAAUCGGAAUUACUGGGCGUAAAGGGUGCGUAGGCGGUUGUUUAAGUCUGUCGUGAAAUCCCCGGGCUCAACCUGGGAAUGGCGAUGGAUACUGGGCAGCUAGAGUGUGUCAGAGGAUGGUGGAAUUCCCGGUGUAGCGGUGAAAUGCGUAGAGAUCGGGAGGAACACCAGUGGCGAAGGCGGUUGCCUGGAGCUUUGCUGACGCUGAUGCGCGAAAGCGUGGGGAGCGAUCCGG